GCUGGGAGCGGGGGGGAGGCGCCCCCUGAGCCCGGGGGCAAGGCCCGGGCCCGCACGCAGCGCUUCUCUGCUCCAGCCCGGCCAGAGGGGGAGCCCGCGGCUGGGAUGCAGCCUGGCGGGGCUUUAAGGAGGCCACCAAACUGACUUUCAUGUCAAGUGAUAAUGUGGAGACCACCUGGGGAGAGGAAAAAGAGGGCAGCCUAGAGAAACAUUACGCAGAACCAUUGAGAAAGACGCCACCUCCAUCAACAUGACACUCGGAAGCCGGCACAGACCAGCGCAAAGCUGAAAUAAAGGGCGGAAAUUGGUGGACACCCGAUGGUCCUGAGAGUGCAGGAGGAGAGCGAGAGAAAGAAGAGGUAAUGAUAGCCAUUGGGGCCCCAACAUUUGACUAGCCGCUCGGAUCAAAAAGGGGCGACGCUCUUUUGUAGCAUCAGAGGUAUCCGAAAGAAUGAGAUAGGUGUCACCUAGGACAUGGAACCUGAGGAUUUCACGGAUCAAUGCUCUUUUGCCUGGUCAAUCAUCCCUGAAGUUUCCUAAAGCCUCGUGGAAUAAUUUACUCGGAGACAUGGACAGCAGUUUUCAUUGCCACUGAACUUGGCCAAAUGAGGCAUCUCAAGCAGCAGAGGGUGCUGCUCAUGAGAAUGCCAUCAGCUGAUUUAUCCCUUUUACUAGAGGAACUUCUAUGACCCUGUCGCAUGAGUCCACAGAGCAGCUGUCAGUGCCCCUGGACCUGUUCUCCAAGAGGAAAUGUUUAUGCACUACAUUAAUUUUUCAGGCUUGCCUGAGGAGGCAGUUGGCUUUUCGCGCCCUCACGCAUUAUUCAAACCACGAUCAGCCCUAUGACUGAGUGACAGCAACCUCUCUGUCUCUGUUUAACAGAAACUCCACAUCAAAGGGUGUCCAUCCAAGCCAAGGGAGGCCUUUGGAUAUAUUUGAAAACACAAUCAUGUAAGAAUUACGAAACAUACAAAGCUUCAGAGCAGCAACAGCUCUUCUCCGUCCUACAAAACAUCAUGUGAUCAAUACAGCUUAACCUCCCCACCAACAGACUCGAGUGAAUUUGAUGUUGAUGAAACGUGGUGGAUUGACAGCCCUGGGCUAGAUAUGCACUAGAGAUCUGAGCCAUUGGUAAUCUGACUGGUGCCAUUGCAUUUAGAGUAAGUUGGCUGAAAUUGGGAACAAGGGGCCAGUCGCCAUGGUGGGUGCAGCUGGUAAAGGUGUAUUGCAAAGUCUCAUUACAAUUGGGAAUGAUUAUGGUAAACUUCAGAGGAUGCACACAACCACCUCUGAUUUAAGGCCUUUUUCAAUUGUACAUUAAUAAUAAGUCUCCCUUAACUCAUGUGUUCAGUUUCUGUUACUUGAAAAUGUGGUGUUAAAGUGUAAAUAUUAUAGUCAGUUACUUCAUUUUAUCAUUCAUUUAUUGUGUGUUGUGUGAUGUUAUGAUUAACUGACAUACCAUGUAAUAUAUAAUCAUUGUAUGUUGAAUAGACUGAAGUGGUAGGAUUAUAGAAGUAUAAGAUUGAUCAGUAAUUAGAAGGGCUAAGUGUGUAUUAGGUAUCUAAGUAAAUAGGGCUGAAACACAAGGCCUACAGGCUGAGGCCUGUAAGAUUUUCGCUUAGCUAUACUAGGCCUUACAAUUAAGAAAUGCUUGACAUAAGUAAGUGACGAAAGAAUAACCCGAUGCCAUAAGAUUACAGGAAAAAAUGUGCCAAUGGGUGAUACUGCGAAAAAUUAGCCAUUUCAUUUUAGAUAACAAAGUGCCCGAGAGGCACAUUUUUUCUAACACAUGCCUUACUACAGGUUUUGCGUCAGUGCUAACGAGAAUAAAAGGAACUAUACACAACCUAUGAAAAAUGCGGUACCCCAGUAUUCUUGGGAGACACAAUACAAAUGAGGAAAAAGAGGGUUGACACUUUCACACACAGGCAUAGUGAGAAUCACAUUAAAAAGGAGGGUUCCCAGACUGGGAAAAUUGAGUUCCCUGUGGGAAGAUUCCAGCAGGAACCAUCCCUCUACUGAUGAUCAAUUAAUGAGAGAUCCAUCAGACCGUAAGACUAUCUAGGAGGAUUUGAGUAUGACUGUAGCUAUAAAUUGUGCAUGGAUAUAUGUAGGAUUUAUCUAUGCUUGGAU